rnacentral:rRNA from 1 species
AUUCCUACGGGAGGCAGCAGUGGGGAAUAUUGCACAAUGGGCGCAAGCCUGAUGCAGCCAUGCCGCGUGUAUGAAGAAGGCCUUCGGGUUGUAAAGUACUUUCAGCAGUGAGGAAGGUGGAUAUGUUAAUAGCAUAUUCAUUUGACGUUAGCUGCAGAAGAAGCACCGGCUAACUCCGUGCCAGCAGCCGCGGUAAUACGGAGGUGCGAGCGUUAAUCGGAAUUACUGGGCGUAAAGCGCAUGCAGGUGGUUUGUUAAGUCAGAUGUGAAAGCCCGGGGCUCAACCUCGGAAUUGCAUUUGAAACUGGCAAACUAGAGUACUGUAGAGGGGGGUAGAAUUUCAGGUGUAGCGGUGAAAUGCGUAGAGAUCUGAAGGAUACCGGUGGCGAAGGCGGCCCCCUGGACAGAUACUGACACUCAGAUGCGAAAGCUGGGGAGCAAACAGGAUUAGAUACCCCGGUAGGCUCUGGC